rnacentral:rRNA from 1 species
AUUGAACGCUGGCGGCAGGCCUAACACAUGCAAGUCGAACGAGUGGCGGACGGGUGAGUAACGUCUGGGAAACUUCCUGAUGGAGGGGGACCACUACUGGAAACGGUAGCUAAUUCCGCAUACCCUCAGAUGUGCCCAUAUGGGAUUAGCUUGUUGGUGGGGUAACGGCUCACCAAGGCGACGAUCCCUAGCUGGUCCGAGAGGAUGAACAGCCACACGGGAACUGAGAAACGGUCCAGACGCCGAGGGGAGGCAGCAGGGGGGAAUAUUGCACAAUGGGCGCAAGCCUGAUGCAGCAAUGCCGCGUAGAUGAAGAAGGCCUUCGGGUUGUAAAGUACUUUCAGCGGGGAGGCGUUACCCGCAGAAGAAGCACCGGCUAACUCCGUGCCAGCAGCCGCGGUAAUAC